rnacentral:tRNA from 1 species
AUGUCGUUAGUAUAAUUUAAUAUAUUACUUUUCCAAAGUUGAGAUCUAUGUGUUUAGACGACAUA